GACGAACGCUGGCGGCGUGCCUAAUACAUGCAAGUCGAGCGAGACUCUUCGGAGUCUAGCGGCGGACGGGUGAGUAACACGUGGGCAACCUGCCUGUAAGACUGGGAUAACACCGGGAAACCGGUGCUAAUACCGGAUAAUCCUUUUCCUCUCAUGAGGAAAAGCUGAAAGUCGGUUUCGGCUGACACUUACAGAUGGGCCCGCGGCGCAUUAGCUAGUUGGUGAGGUAACGGCUCACCAAGGCGACGAGGCGUAGCCGACCUGAGAGGGUGAUCGGCCACACUGGGACUGAGACACGGCCCAGACUCCUACGGGAGGCAGCAGUAGGGAAUCUUCCACAAUGGACGAAAGUCUGAUGGAGCAACGCCGCGUGAGCGAUGAAGGCCUUCGGGUCGUAAAGCUCUGUUGUUAGGGAAGAACAAGUACCGGAGUAACUGCCGGUACCUUGACGGUACCUAACCAGAAAGCCACGGCUAACUACGUGCCAGCAGCCGCCGUAAAAC
rnacentral:rRNA from 1 species